rnacentral:tRNA from 1 species
AGGGGCGUCCGUUAAUGGCAAACGGCGAGACUCCAAAUCCCGUCCUGGGGGUUCAAGUCCCUCCGCCCCUG